GCCUUCGUGGUGUAAUGGUAGCACACUUGACACGCAUUCGAGAGGUCCAUGUUCGAGUCCCGGCGAGGGCA
rnacentral:tRNA from 1 species